CUAGGACUGGUUAGAUGGCUUAGCAAGUAAAGUCUCUUGCCCUGCAAGCCUAGUGACUGAAACCCAAACUCCAGGACCCAUGUAAAGUGUCUCCUUGUGUACCUUCACGCCCCACAUCCAUGGAUUACUAACAACCGACCAGAAUUACUCAGAAGACAGUCAUGUUCGUACUGAGCACAGAGGUGUUUUCUGUCCAGCUCUUCCCCUGCCGUCCACACUGCAUUAGGUGGCUGGAGAAGGCACUCGGCUUGGCAGUGCAGCAGCUGCAAACUGCUGCGGACACUGGACACUGCACACUGUGGACACUGCGGACACUGGACACUG